AACGAACGCUGGCGGCAGGCCUAACACAUGCAAGUCGAACGCCCCGCAAGGGGAGUGGCAGCCGGGUGAGUAACACGUGGGAACCUUCCCUAUAGUACGGAAUAGCCCAGGGAAACUUGGAGUAAUACCGUAUACGCCCGAAAGGGGAAAGAAUUUCGCUAUAGGAUGGGCCCGCGUAGGAUUAGCUAGUUGGUGAGGUAAUGGCUCACCAAGGCGACGAUCCUUAGCUGGUUUGAGAGAACGACCAGCCACACUGGGACUGAGACACGGCCCAGACUCCUACGGGAGGCAGCAGUGGGGAAUAUUGGACAAUGGGCGCAAGCCUGAUCCAGCCAUGCCGCGUGAGUGAUGAAGGCCUUAGGGUUGUAAAGCUCUUUUGGCGGGGACGAUAAUGACGGUACCCGCAGAAUAAGUCCCGGCUAACUUCGUG
rnacentral:rRNA from 1 species